CCGAGAAUAUUCGACAAUGGACGAAAGUCUGAUCGAGCGAUACCGCGUGUACGAUGAAGUAUUUAGGUAUGUAAAGUACUUUUAUGUAGGAAGAACGUUGACUGUACUACAUGAAUAAGGGGUUGCUAACUCUGUGCCAGCAGCAGCGGUAAUACAGAGACCCCAAGCGUUAUCCGGAAUCAUUGGGCGUAAAGGGUGUGUAGGUGGUUUUAUUAGUCAGUUGUUAAAUACCAGGGCUUAACCUUGGUGC
rnacentral:rRNA from 1 species